CAUCCUGUAAUUUCACUGAUGGCUUAACAGUCUCUGCUCGCCCCCUUCCCAAAGCAGUUUAUCUUCUGCAGAAGCGAUAGGACAGUAAAUAAGUAGCUUACGACACACAAGAGCUUUUCCCUGACUACUGGGUGGUUGUCAGCGUUAAGUAGCGAUCCUUGCAUGCGCCGAGCUAACAUCAUGUGAUGGGACUGUGUUUCAUCGGGGCUUCCACUGCUACGGAGCUAAAAGCUUGAGAAAUUCACUAACAAAGAGCACCCUGCGGCUGCAACAGCUGAAUCCAAUUCCGCCUCCACCCUUUGAGGACAACACCCCCGGUGACCCUCAGGUCAAGAGGCUUAUAACCUGAGGAAGCCCGGCGGUCAUGUGACCUGCAGGUGACGACACACUGGAUUUCAUAUGACGCAGCAGUCUCUGAGCGGAGGCUGUCGGUGGUUCGGGACUGGAAAGGAGAUGUCACGCUUGCAAUGACUAACCCAUGACGACUGUUACAUCACAAAGGUUCUUGGGGACCUGUUGUACAAGAAUGUUGUGGAGCUUGCCAAUAACAUUUUGCAAAAAGAUUUUUUUACAGAGAUUUUUCUUUUUUUUAAUCUGUCUUUGUAGAAAUGAAAGGGAUAUUGAUAUGAUUUUGGGCAUAUAAUCAGUAAAAUUACGUUUUGAAAGAACUAAUCAGUCCGCCCAGGAAUUCGUGAUGUUGCAAUCGCAACAAUUCACGCAAAUUCAAUCAAUCACGGUGAAUUCGGUGCGACUCGCAAUUUUGACCAAUCACCGCAACUUUACCGCAAAUUUGACCAAUAACCGGAGUUUCCCGCGACUUCAACCAAUCCCACCAGUCCCACGUGCCAGACUUUGCGUCAGUGUGAGAACAGGGUGACGUAACACACGUACGUCACCAAAUUCAUUUCCUUGUUUCUGAUAUGAAGACGAGAUGUGUGUGACUCGAACUUCUCACAUUUACCAACAA